GUAUGAAAUAGUUUGGUCAGACAGACAUUUCUCUGAGAAUAUAUUUAAAACUUUUUUUUUAUUUUGUCGUGACAUUAUAACGACAUAUCAGCAAAUCUGGUAUAUGUCAGUAAAGGACAAACUUUCAUUGAUGAAUUCUUCCAAAAAUUUUGUUUUGGAUAUUUCGAAAUAAAACCAGGAUUUUUUCC